rnacentral:rRNA from 1 species
CGCGUGUGUGAAGAAGGCCUUUUGGUUGUAAAGCACUUUAAGCAGUGAAGAAGACCUAACGGUUAAUACCCGUUAGCGAUGACAUUAGCUGCAGAAUAAGCACCGGCUAACUCUGUGCCAGCAGCCGCGGUAAUACAGAGGGUGCAAGCGUUAAUCGGAAUUACUGGGCGUAAAGCGAGCGUAGGUGGCUUGAUAAGUCACAUGUGAAAUCCCCGGGCUUAACCUGGGAACUGCAUCUGAUACUGUUAAGCUAGAGUAGGUGAGAGGGAAGUAGAAUUCCAGGUGUAGCGGUGAAAUGCGUAAAGAUCUGGAGGAAUACCGAUGGCGAAGGCAGCUUCCUGGCAUCAUACUGACACUGAGGUUCGAAAGCGUGGGUAGCAAACAGGAUUAGAUACCCUGGUAGUCCACGCCGUAAACGAUGUCUACUAGUCGUUGGGUCCCUUGAGGACUUACUGACGCAGCUAACGCAAUAAGUAAACCGCCUGGGGAGUACGGCCGCAAGGUUAAAACUCAAAUGAAUUGACGGGGGCCCGCACAAGCGGUGGAGCAUGUGGUUUAAUUCGAUGCAACGCGAAGAACCUUACCUGGUCUUGACAUACACAGAAUCUUGUAUAGAUACGAGAGUGCCUUCGGGAAUUGUGAUACAGGUGCUGCAUGGCUGUCGUCAGCUCGUGUCGUGAGAUGUUGGGUUAAGUCCCGCAACGAGCGCAACCC